GUCUACGGCCAUACCACCCUGAACGCGUCCAAUCUUGUCUGAUCUCGGAAGCUAAGCAGGGUCGGGCCUGGUUAGUACUUGGAUGGCAGAUGGGAAUACCAGACAACCUGACC
rnacentral:rRNA from 1 species